GCAUAUCAAUAAGCGGAGGAAAAGAAACCAACAGGGAUUGCCCCAGUAACGGCGAGUGAAGCGGCAACAGCUCAAAUUUGAAAUCUGGCCCCCCGGCCCGAGUUGUAAUUUGGAGAGGAUGCUUCUGGCGCGGCGCCGUCCGAGUUCCUUGGAACAGGACGCCACAGAGGGUGAGAGCCCCGUACGGACGGACGCCUAGCCUCUACGAAGCUCCUUCGACGAGUCGAGUAGUUUGGGAAUGCUGCUCAAAAUGGGAGGUAAAUUUCUUCUAAAGCUAAAUACCGGCCAGAGACCGAUAGCGCACAAGUAGAGUGAUCGAAAGAUGAAAAGCACUUUGAAAAGAGGGUUAAAAAGUACGUGAAAUUGUUGAAAGGGAAGCGCCUGUGACCAGACUUGCGCCCCGCGGACCACCCGGCGUUCUCGCCGGUGCACUCUGCGGUGCGCAGGCCAGCAUCGGUUCUCCCAGGGGGACAAAGGCCGCGGGAACGUAGCUCCUUCGGGAGUGUUAUAGCCCGCGGCGGCAUGCCCCUGGGGGGACCGAGGACCGCGCUUCGGCAAGGAUGCUGGCGUAAUGGUCACCAGCGACCCGUCUUGAAACACGGACCAAGGAGUCAAGCAUUGGGGCGAGUGUAUGGGUGCCAAACCCGCACGCGAAAUGAAAGUAAACGCAGGUGAGAGCUUCGGCGCAUCAUCGACCGAUCCUGAUGUCUUCGGAUGGAUUUGAGUAAGAGCCUUACCGCUUGGACCCGAAAGAUGGUGAACUAUGCCUGAAUAGGGUGAAGCCAGAGGAAACUCUGGUGGAGGCUCGCAGCGGUUCUGACGUGCAAAUCGAUCGUCAAAUUUGGGCAUGGGGGCGAAAGACUAAUCGAACCAUCUAGUAGCUGGUUACCGCCGAAGU
rnacentral:rRNA from 1 species